CCUACGGGGGGCAGCAGUGAGGAAUAUUGGUCAAUGGACGAGAGUCUGAACCAGCCAAGUAGCGUGAAGGAUGACUGCCCUAUGGGUUGUAAACUUCUUUUAUAUGGGAAUAAAAUGUUCCACGUGUGGGAUUUUGUAUGUACCAUAUGAAUAAGGAUCGGCUAACUCCGUGCCAGCAGCCGCGGUAAUACGGAGGAUCCGAGCGUUAUCCGGAUUUAUUGGGUUUAAAGGGAGCGUAGGUGGAUUGUUAAGUCAGUUGUGAAAGUUUGCGGCUCAACCGUAAAAUUGCAGUUGAAACUGGCAGUCUUGAGUACAGUAGAGGUGGGCGGAAUUCGUGGUGUAGCGGUGAAAUGCUUAGAUAUCACGAAGAACUCCGAUUGCGAAGGCAGUUCACUGGACCGCAACUGACACUGAGGCUCGAAAGUGUGGGUAUCAAACAGGAUUAGAUACCCCUGUAGUC
rnacentral:rRNA from 1 species